rnacentral:rRNA from 1 species
AGAGAAUACCAAGGCGCUUGAGAGAACUCGGGUGAAGGAACUAGGCAAAAUGGUGCCGUAACUUCGGGAGAAGGCACGCUGAUAUGUAGGUGAAGUCCCUCGCGGAUGGAGCUGAAAUCAGUCGAAGAUACCAGCUGGCUGCAACUGUUUAUUAAAAACACAGCACUGUGCAAACACGAAAGUGGACGUAUACGGUGUGACGCCUGCCCGGUGCCGGAAGGUUAAUUGAUGGGGUCAGCGCAAGCGAAGCUCUUGAUCGAAGCCCCGGUAAACGGCGGCCGUAACUAUAACGGUCCUAAGGUAGCGAAAUUCCUUGUCGGGUAAGUUCCGACCUGCACGAAUGGCGUAAUGAUGGCCAGGCUGUCUCCACCCGAGACUCAGUGAAAUUGAACUCGCUGUGAAGAUGCAGUGUACCCGCGGCAAGACGGAAAGACCCCGUGAACCUUUACUAUAGCUUGACACUGAACAUUGAGCCUUGAUGUGUAGGAUAGGUGGGAGGCUUUGAAGUGUGGACGCCAGUCUGCAUGGAGCCGACCUUGAAAUACCACCCUUUAAUGUUUGAUGUUCUAACGUUGACCCGUGAUCCGGGUUGCGGACAGUGUCUGGUGGGUAGUUUGACUGGGGCGGUCUCCUCCUAAAGAGUAACGGAGGAGCACGAAGGUUGGCUAAUCCUGGUCGGACAUCAGGAGGUUAGUGCAAUGGCAUAAGCCAGCUUGACUGCGAGCGUGACGGCGCGAGCAGGUGCGAAAGCAGGUCAUAGUGAUCCGGUGGUUCUGAAUGGAAGGGCCAUCGCUCAACGGAUAAAAGGUACUCCGGGGAUAACAGGCUGAUACCGCCCAAGAGUUCAUAUCGACGGCGGUGUUUGGCACCUCGAUGUCGGCUCAUCACAUCCUGGGGCUGAAGUAGGUCCCAAGGGUAUGGCUGUUCGCCAUUUAAAGUGGUACGCGAGCUGGGUUUAGAACGUCGUGAGACAGUUCGGUCCCUAUCUGCCGUGGGCGCUGGAGAACUGAGGGGGGCUGCUCCUAGUACGAGAGGACCGGAGUGGACGCAUCACUGGUGUUCGGGUUGUCAUGCCAAUGGCACUGCCCGGUAGCUAAAUGCGGAAGAGAUAAGUGCUGAAAGCAUCUAAGCACGAAACUUGCCCCGAGAUGAGUUCUCCCUGACUCCUUGAGAGUCCUGAAGGAACGUUGAAGACGACGACGUUGAUAGGCCGGGUGUGUAAGCGCAGCGAUGCGUUGAGCUAACCGGUACUAAUGAACCGUGAGGCUUAACCUU